GAUGAAGAACGCAGCGAAAUGCGAUAAGUAAUGUGAAUUGCAGAAUUCAGUGAAUCAUCGAAUCUUUGAACGCACAUUGCGCCCAUUAGUAUUCUAGUGGGCAUGCCUGUUCGAGCGUCAUUGCUGCCCUCAAGCACGGCUUGUGUGUUGGGCCUCCGUCCUCCUCCCGGGGGACGGGCCCGAAAGGCAGCGGCGGCACCGCGUCCGGUCCUCGAGCGUAUGGGGCUUCGUCACCCGCUCUUGUAGGCCCGGCCGGCGCUUGCCGACACAUCAAUCUUUUUUCCAGGUUGACCUCGGAUCAGGUAGGGAUACCCGCUGAACUUAAGCAUAUCAAUAAGCGGAGGA
rnacentral:misc_RNA from 1 species